rnacentral:rRNA from 1 species
ACUCCUACGGGAGGCAGCAGUGGGGAAUAUUGCACAAUGGGCGCAAGCCUGAUGCAGCCAUGCCGCGUGUGUGAAGAAGGCCUUCGGUUGUAAAGCACUUUCAGUUGUGAGGAAGGUGGUGUCGUUAAUAGCGGCAUCAUUUGACGUUAGCAACAGAAGAAGCACCGGCUAACUCCGUGCCAGCAGCCGCGGUAAUACGGAGGGUGCGAGCGUUAAUCGGAAUUACUGGGCGUAAAGCGCAUGCAGGUGGUUUGUUAAGUCAGAUGUGAAAGCCCGGGGCUCAACCUCGGAACUGCAUUUGAAACUGGCAGACUAGAGUACUGUAGAGGGGGUAGAAUUUCAGGUGUAGCGGUGAAAUGCGUAGAGAUCUGAAGGAAUACCAGU